rnacentral:rRNA from 1 species
AUGGACAUCUUCAACGAGUUCUAUGUUGGGUCCAUCGACCUUGGGCGCCUCAACUAUGGGAUCAUUUCGCUCAUCCCCAAGGUGCAUGGGGCUUCCAACAUCCGCUAGUUUCGUCCGAUCACGGUCAUCAAUGUGAUUUUCCGGAUUCUGGCGAAAGGGUACGCCAAUAGGGUGACCCUGCUUGUCGACCACAUUACCCACCCCAACCAGUCCGCCUUCAUUCAAGGGCGGUAUAUCCUGGAUGGGGCUAGUCUUCAUGAAGUACUCCAUGAGGUCCGGUCUAAGCACCUCAGGGCGGUUUUCCUGAAGAUCGAUUUCCAUAAGGCGUACGACACUGUUAGUUGGUCCUUCCUUCGGGAAGUUUUGCUUCAAAAAGGCUUUGACGAUUGA